ensembl:misc_RNA Y_RNA Y RNA
GGCUGAUCAGAGAGGAGAGUGGUGUUUACAACUAAUUAAUCACAACCAGUUACAGAUUUCUUUGUUCCCCUACCACUCCCACUGCUUUACUUGACUAGCCUAAA